rnacentral:tRNA from 1 species
GCCUUUGGGGUGUAGUGGUUAGCACGCGCAGUGUGUAUUCGAGAGGUCCGUGGUUCGAGUCCCGGCGAGGGCA